rnacentral:tRNA from 1 species
GCCUGGGUGGCUCAGUCGGUUGAGCGUCUGACUUCAGCUCAGGUCAUGAUCUCACGGUCCGUGAGUUCGAGCCCCGCGUCGGGCU